rnacentral:lncRNA from 1 species
AUAAACAUGCAUGUAAAUGCAUAUGGAGCAUUUUCGGCAUAUACCUACUGAUAUGCAUACAUAUGUUUUUAUAUAUAUUUUGGUGUAGACACACACACACACACACACACACAUAUAUUAUAGAUACGCGCAACCCAUACAUAAAUUUUCCUGCACACAACCACUUACACAUAUUUAUAGAUACAUACACGCAUAAUACUGUAUAUACCACACACCCAGAAUCUACAUAUAUAUUAAACUCUCAUUUAUAACCAUACACAUAUAUAUGUUCACACAGGUUCAUUUAUUUACAAUUACAUUAAUACAAACACCCCUUAUCCAUGUAUAUAUAUAUAUUUAUACAAAUACCUAUAUGUCUUCAAGUGUACAUAUUUAUAUAUAUAUAUAUUCGCAUACCUACAUAUACAUAAUAGUAAAUUUUUAUACAUGCAAUCUCGCAUACACAUGUAUCCAACCAUAUAACUUUUCUAAACAUACAAAUAUGCCUACAUAUAUCUAAUACAUGCUGCAUACACAUAGUUAUAUAAACAUAUAUAUACAUACAUAAAAUAUAUUGAAAAUGUGACAUCCCAAUACCUAGUGAGGUUAAAGGGCGUCUAAUAAUAGAAAAAAUAUGAGUAUAUAAAAAUAAACAAAUAUAUAUACAACAAAAAAUAUUAUCCCUUACAAAAAAUUUAAGUUUCAAAUUUUACAUCCGAUGCCAAAAAGUUGGUUACCAAAAUACAUAUAUACACAAAAGUUUAUGAAAAGCCAUUUCUUCCAUUAUAAGAGUGUUUCAUCAGAGUGUUGACAGAUAAUGCACUCAAAAUCCUCCUAAAGAUCCAUGAACGGAUCUAAACGAGCUUAAAUGAGCAACUCAGCAAGCGAAUCAUCACUUCCAUAAUCUAAGGGGGGACAUAGAUUGAGGUGAGCUCCAAAUAACUCAGUAAAAAAAAUAGUAUAUAAACUACACUAUUAAGGUUUUCAAAUGUUAUUUAUUUCAAAGCAAAUCAUUAUCAUAAAAUCAUUUGACUUACCUCUUAGACUUGUCGUACACAUGUUCUUUUAAAAUAUUGAAAAAGUGUUAUUUUUCUAUUAAACCAAAUAAAAAACAUCGAUAUUUAAAUUACAACAGGAAGUAAAGAUAGCCUAGUGUAACAUAAAAGAGUCAAUAAUACAACAAGCCAUUGUAAUAUAAACUAGUUAAACCAACUAAAAGCAUAGCAAUGUCAUGACGAAACAAUGAUAAACAUAUUCCUUUCAAGAGAAAUUUUUAAAGCGUAGGAAAUCAAUCAACUAUUCUAGCCAUGUCAUCAAAUGUUUAAAUUUUAUUUAUGUCUUUUACAGAUCUUCAUGUAAAACUGUUCUAACUUAUAUUAGCUUAGGGCAGAAGGGAUUCCCAACUACCACUGUGAAAGAGCAAACAGAUUCAUUUCAAUAUCAGAUAUUUUAGAGAUAAACUAAUCACCAUGGUCGUACUUUGCCACUGUAGCUCCUACAGAAUAGAUAAGACUAAUGACCACAAUCGCACUUCGCCAUUGUGGCCACUAUAGAUCAAUCACGAAUCCAUUCUCGUUAAAGGGAAUAUCAGUACCAUUCAUAAGGGGUGGUUCAUUGAUAGAUUGAAAUACAAAUACAGAUAUAGAAAUAGAAACCCCCUAGUGAUAAUGGUCAAAUAGAUUUUUAAUUCUUUUCUCUUUUCUUACUAAUUUCAAUUUAUAAAUAAUCAUGAAUUUAGAACUCGGUGGGGGUCUAAUAAACAUAUCCCAACCUAAGUAGGCCUUUAUACUCAGAUUUUGCCAUCGGGUCAUCCUCUUGAGCUUAGCCUUAAUAAAAUAACCCUCUCCACUAUCACUUAGGGUAAAACAGAGGGACAAAUCUGCACAUAUUCAAAUAUCAUCGAGGUACGAUUAAACAUGCAUUAUUGUUUUUAAGGAAAACUAGCCACACAUAUAUCCAUUCAUAUCAUAUAGCUGCUAAACAAGAUUUAAUUUCAUGCAUCAAGAUAAAUCAAUAAUCAUAAAUUAAUUAUCUAGAAAUUUGCUAGUAAAUGUACGAGAAAAUACUAAAAAAUUCCUUACCGAAAUCUUUAAUGAUUUUUGAAGUCCUAUGGAAAAAGGAUGGAUAGGAUUGCUCGGUGACUCAUGAACCAAAGAAAAAAUCCUAACUCCCGGUCUCCCACACAAAUUUUCCCUAAAUUUUCUCUAAAUAUUGAGGAAGAAGGAAUGUUGAAGUGAAAGGGAUGUGGAAGGUCCUUUAAAUAGAUUUUUUGGGCGAACGGGAGCACUCAGAUUGCAUAGGCGAUCAAUGAUUGUCGGUCGGCCAAGUGGCCGACUUGCCACCACAUGCAGCGUGCAUGCGUGCCACGUGGUGGCCAUGCACCCCCAGCUAGGCUGACAUGAUGGACAUAUGAGAUAGUCUGUCUGUUAGUCUGUCACAACAAGUGACUGUGCAUAGAGUCGUGGGCCCUGUAGGUUAACAACACAGCCUUUGCAUCGCACAGGCAUGUGUUUGCGCUAUCACAUCUGCUGCGUAGUGACAACCCUGUGUACAUAGCUGGCUCAUGGGCAUAGGCACAUGGAUGCGCAUGCGCGUGGGCUCGCUGGCUCGCAAAUCAUUCUUGCAGGUUCGCGAGGUAUUUCUGCACAAUUUUUUUUCCAUUUUACAUUUCCUUUCAUUUUUCCUAAAAUUUUUAAAUAAUUUUAGUGCAAAAUAAUUAAAAAUAAAAAUAAAUAAUAAAAUAAUAUUCUUAAAAAUUAAAAGUUAAGAUAAGGCCCAGUGAAAUAAAUUAUGAAUACUGACUAAAAUUUAAAAUUAACAUCAAAGACCGCAACACACUAAAACAUGAAGUUUAAAAAUACACCAUUUGAACGCAUAGGUUUUUGGGUUUUAUAUCUUCCCCACCUUACAAAAAAUAUGGUCCUCCAAAUUUGAAAAAAUGUUUUUAAAACAACUCGGGAUACUUGUUCUGCAUUUCAUCUUCCAACUCACACGUAACUUCAUCUAGAGUGUGAUGCUGUCAUAACACCUUGACCAUUAAAAUCCUCACGUUCCGUAUAACCUUCUCCAUUGAAUCAAUUAUCUCAAUAAGGUAUUCUACAUAAGGCAUGUCCUAACGGACAAGAGUUUGCUGAUGCCGGAUGAUGUGAGAAGGAUCAUGGUGAUACCUCAUGGGCAUGGAGACAUGGAAAACAUCAUGUAGGCCAGUAAAUUCAAGAGGCAAAGCAAUACAAUAUGAAAUGGGGCCUACACGCUCUAAAAUCUCAAAAGACCUAACAAAACAAGGACUCAACUUUCCUCUCUUCUCAACCCAUAUUUUUCCCUUAUAUAGAAAGACUGCGAGGAAAACAUGGUCCCCAACAACAAAUUCUAGAGCCCUCCUUCUAUUGUCAGCAUAAUUCUUUUAAUGACUCCGAGCGAUAAUGAGGUUCUUACGGAUGAAGACAACUUUGUCAAUAGUCUCUUGAACGUAAUUUGUUCCAAGGAGAUGCUUAUUCCCAAUUUCAUUCUAAUAGGUUGGGGAUCGACAUGGCCUACUAUAUAGAGCUUUAUAUGGAGCCAUAUUAAUAUUAGAGUGAUAGUUGUUAU